rnacentral:tRNA from 1 species
GGGGUGGUGGCGCAGUUGGCUAGCGCGUAGGUCUGAUAAUCCUAAGGUCGAGAGUUCGAGCCUCUCUCACCCCA